CUUAACUGCAUUAAUAGCAUGCCCUCAUGUUGGUUUGUGGCAGUUCUUCUGCAACGUACCCUACGUUAGAACACACCUCAGAAAUAGGUUUGUAUGGGUUGCCACAACUUUGAAACCAGGACAGUACUCUCUGACUGCAUAUGUUGUGGAGGCUUCUUGUUAAAGUGGAUGAAACUUCUGGUCUGAACAUCCUCAAUUGUGAGGAUGUGAGAAAUCCAGACUGCUUCUCCCAUUAUGCUAAAAAUGUACAGGAGAGAAGAGAAGGAAGGAAGGGAAAGGAAAGAAAGGAGAAAAAAAAAAAAAAAGAGAGAGAGAGAGAAAGAACCUCUUACAAAUGUAAUUCUCUCUUGUGUAAAUAGCCACAGUCCUGUUUCCUCACCCAGAUCUAGGUCUUUCAGGCCCAGACCAGACCAAAUUCUGGCCAUUCGAGAAGCUUUAAAAGCCACUUCCUCUUGUAGCCCCUCCAGACUGCUGAGUUGUCACUUCACCUGUGCACACAAUACAACAUUAGACAGAAGUAAAUGAACCAUUAUGCUUCAUACCUAUCUAAGACUUGGCCUUCUUUCCUAGCCGAUCUUGUUUGACCAACAGUAGGACAAAGUGGUCGUAGGAAGCAGGAAAGGUCUUAAAGUCAGUGGGAUAACCGUAGUGGUACGGCCCUACGUAAAAACAAAAGCAGAUUAGAGAAGAGAGUGCUCUAGAGCACACUAUGAGAACAAAACGGUCUGCAGGAUCCUGGUUGACUGCUCAGACUAGCAGAGGAUCCUUGGCCCAAACUGACAACCUUCAUUCAAAGCCACUAUCUGAAGGGAAGAGAGACGAAUCUAAAGAAUCUCUGUCAAAUGUGUUCAGAAAUGAUGCAGCUGAUCAGCAGUUUAACCUUGAAGCUGCAAUUAAAAAUGUUGGCAAAAUGUCUGAUGAGCUAAAGAAACUAAAUGUGGAAAGCCAGCUGCUGCUUUGUGACCUUAUUUUGAAUUUCAACCAUCCCCUGAAGGCCAAAGAUUUAAGAGAAGCUGAAGAAAAAACUCGGAGUUUGACAGAUUAA
rnacentral:lncRNA from 1 species